UACGUAGGGUGCAAGCGUUAAUCGGAAUUACUGGGCGUAAAGCGUGCGCAGGCGGUUUUGUAAGUUUGUCGUGAAAGCCCCGGGCUCAACCUGGGAAUGGCGAUGAAGACUGCAAGGCUUGAAUCUGGCAGAGGGGGGUAGAAUUCCACGUGUAGCAGUGAAAUGCGUAGAGAUGUGGAGGAACACCGAUGGCGAAGGCAGCCCCCUGGGUCAAGAUUGACGCUCAUGUACGAAAGCGUGGGGAGCAAACAGG
rnacentral:rRNA from 1 species